AGGAUGUGGUAUUUUGUCAAAUGUUUUUUCUGCAGCUAUUGACAAGAUCAUAUGGUUUUUAUCCUUUCUUCUGUUAAUGUGAUGUAUCACAUUGAUUGAUUUGUAAAUAUUGAACCAGCCCUGCAGCUCAGGAAUGAAUCCCACUUGAUCAUGGUGAAUAAUUCUUUUAAUGUACUGUUGAAUUUGAUUUGCUAGUAUCUUGUUGAGAAUUUUUACAUCCAUAUUCAUCAGGGAUAUUUGCCUAUAAUUCUCCUUUUUAGUGGGGUCUUUGGUUUGGGGAUCAAGGAAAGCUGGCUUCACAGAAUGAGUCUGGAAGCUUUCCUUCCAUUUCUAUUUUUUGGAACAGUUUGAGAAAAAUAGGUAUUAACUCUGCUUUAAAUGUCUGGUAGAAUUCCCCUGGGAAGCCAUCUGGCCCAGGACUUUUAUUUAUUGGGAGAUUUUUGGUAACUGAUUCAAUUUCUUUGGUUAUGGGUCUGUUCAAAUUUUCUAUUUCUUCCCAUUUGAGUUUUGGUAGGUGCGGGUGAUUUGUCCAUUUCUUUCUGAUUAUCCAGUUUGUUGGCAUAUAAUUUUUCAUAGUAUUCUCUAAUAAUUAUUUGUAUUUCUGUGGUGUUGGUUAUGAUUUCUCCUCUUUCAUUCAUGAUUUUAUCUAUUUGGGUCCUCUUCUUUUUGAGAAGUCUGGCUAGGGGUUUAUUAAUUUUGUUUAUUCUUUCAAAAAAACAGCUCUUAGAUUUAUUGAUCUGUUCUACUGUUUUUUUAGGAUUCUAUAUUGUUUAUUUUUGCCUUAAUCUUUAUUAUUUCCCUUCUUCUGCGGGCUUUGGGGUUUAUUUGCUGCUGCUUUUCUAGCUUCUUUAGGUGUAAGGUUAGGUUUGUAUUUGGGACCUUUCUUGCUUCUUAAGAUAGGCCUGAAUUGCGAUAUAUUUUCCUCUUAGGACUGUUUUUGCUGGGGCACCUGGGGUUUGGACUGUGAUGUUUUCAUUUUCAUUUGUUCCAUGUAUUUAAAAAAAUUUUUUUAAUGUUUAUUUAUUUUUAAGAGAGAGAGAGAGAGAGAGAGAGAAUGUGAGAGGGGGAGGGGCAGAGAGAGAGGGAGAAACAGAAUCUGCAGCAGGCUCCAGGCUCUGAGCUGGAGUCUGACGUGGGGCUGGAACUCUCAGACCGUGAGAUCAUGACCUGAGCUGAAGUUGGAUGCUUAACCGACUGAGCCACCCAGGCACCCCUGCUUCCAUGUAUUUUUAAAUUUCUUCUUUAAUUCCCUGGUUAACUCAUUUAUUCUUUAGUAGAAUGUUCUUUAACCUCCAUGUAUUUGGGGGCUUUCCAAAUUUUUUCUUGUGGUUGAUUUCAAGUUUCAUAGCAUUGUGAUCUGAAAAUAUGCAUGGUAUGAUCUCAGUCUUUUGUACUUGUUGAGGGCUGUUUUGUGACUAGUAUGUGAUCUCUUUUGGAGAAUAUUCCAUGUGCACUUGAGAAGAAUGUGUAUUCUGCUGCUUUAGGAUGAAAAGUUCUACAUAUAUCUGUUAUGUCCAUUUGGCCCAAUGUGUCAUUCAGAGCCAUUGUUUCGUUACUGAUUAGAUGAUCUGUCCAUUGUUGUAAGUGGAAUAUUAAAAUCACCCAGUGAUGGGCAUUGAGGAGGGCACUUGUUGGGAUGAACACUGGGUGUUGUAUGGAAACCAAUUUGACAGUAAAUUAUAUUAAAAAAUUAAAUUGAAUUAAAAUCAUCCACAAUUAUGGUAUUAUUAUCAAUAAGUUUGUUUAUGUUUGUGAUUAAUUGAUUUAUAUAUUUGGGUGCUUCACAUUGGGGGUAUAAACAUUUACAGUUGUUAGCUCUUCUUGAUGGUAGACCCCUUAAUUAUGAUAUAAUGCCCUUCUUCAUUUCUUGUUACAGUCUUUCUUUUAAAAUCUAGUUUGCCUGUUAUAAGUAUGGCUACUCCAGCUUUCUUUUGACUUCCAGUAGCAUGAUAGAUGGUUCUCCAUCCCCUCACUUUCAAUCUGAAGGUGUCCUCUGGUCUAAAAUGAGUCUCUUGGUGCAUUUAGUCCAUUUAAAUUCAGAGUGAUUAUUAAAGAUAUGAAUUUAGUGCCAUUGUGUUAUCUUUAGAUUUCAUGUUUGUGGUGAUAUCUCUGGUCCUUUGUAGUCUUUGCUGCUUUCCACUCACAGAGUCCCCCUUAGGAUCUCCUGCAGGGCUGGUUUAGUGGUCAUGAACUCCUUUAGGUUUUGUUUAUCUGGGAAAGCCUUUGUCUCUUCUUCUUAUAUUCUGAAUGACAACCUUGCUGGAUAAAGGAUUCUUGGCUGCAUGUUUUUCCUAUUCAGCACAUGGAAUAUUUCCUGCCACUCCUUUCUGGCCUGCCCAGUUUCAGUGGACAGGUCUGCUACUACCCUUAUGUGUCUUCCCUUGUAGGUUAAGGACCAUUCGUCCCUAGCUGCUUUCAGAAUUCUCUCUUUAUCUUUGUGUUUUGCCAGUUUUACUGUGAUAUGCCAUGGUGUUGACCUGUUUUUGUUGAUUUUGAGGGGAGUUCUCUGUGCCUCUUGGACUUGGAUGACUAUUUCCUUCCCCUCGCUCUUCUUCUUCUAGAACUCCUAUGAUACAGAUAUUGUUUCAUUUUAUGCACUUAGCUCUCUAAUUCUUCCCUCAUGAUCUAGUAAUUUCAUUUCCCUCUUUUUUUUCAGCUUCAUCAUUUUCCAUAAUUUUAUUUUCUAUUUUACCUAUUCUCCUGUUUCUUCCAUCCUUGCUGUCACUAUAUCUAGUUUAUUUUGCAUGCCAUUUAUAGCAUUUCUUAAUUCAUUGUAACUAGUUCUUAGGUCUUUUAUCUCUGCAUCAAGAGAUUCUCUGCUGUCUUCUAUGCUUCUUUUUUUUAAAGCCCAGUUAUUAGUCUUAUGACUGUUAUUCUAAAUUCUUGUUCAGAUAUAUUGUUUAUAUCUGUUUUGAGCAAUUCUCUGGCUGUGAUUUCUUCCUUAAUUUCUUUUGGGGAAAAUUCUUCUGUUUUGUCAUUUUGGUUAAGUUUCUGUCUUUUGCGUGUUUUAAUAGCUUGUCCUGCGCCUGUGAGUACUAGGAUAUUAAAAAGGGGUCAUACACUGUCCAGGGCCUGGCACUUCAGAAGUGUCCUGCACCUUGAUCCUGCAAAGCUGUCUCCCUCUAACUGUGGAGAUCCUUUUGCUACCCUGCAGAUUGCAUGCACUCUGCUGUUGCAUUUUGCUUGCUCUAUCCCACUGGUCAGUCCUCUACAAAGCUCUUCCUUGCUUGUAGUGGUGGAAUGUUUGGGCCUUCAACCAGGUGUUCUGUGAUUUGUUUGUUGAAAUAACCCUGGAAAAAAAGGAAAACGUGGGGGAAGACUGAUCCCAUAAAAAGAGAGAAAUGAAAGGGUAGAAAAGAAGACCAAAUAGAGAAUCAAAAACUAUAAAGCUAAAUCCAGAGAAAGAGAAAGGAAAAUAAAGAUAAAGAGAUAGAAAAGGCGUAGGGAAGUCGGGCCUGUUUUUUGUGGCGCCUCAGAGGCGGUAGGCUGCUUCAGGAUGAAACUGAACAUCUCUUUCCCAGCUACUGGCUGCCAGAAACUCAUUGAAGUGGAUGACGAAUGGAAAUUUUGUACCAUUUUUGAGAAGCGGAAUGGCCACCGAAGUUGUUGCUGAUGAACAAGGUGAAGAAUGGAAGGGUUACCUGGUCUGAAUCGGUGGUGGCAGUGACACACAAGGCUUCCCCAUGAAGAAGGUGUCUUGACCCAUGGCCAUGUCCACGUGCUGCUGAGUAAGGGGCAUUCCUGCUACUGACUAAGGAGGACUGGAGAAAGAAAGUGCAAAUCUGCUCAGGGUUGCAUUGUGGUUGCCAAUCUCAGUGUUCUCAACGGGUCUUCGUGAAGAAAGGGAAGAAGGGUAUUUCUGGACUCACUGAUACUACUGUGCCUCAUCACCUGGGGCCCAAAAGAGCUAGCAAAAUCUGCAAACUUUACAGUCUCUCAAAGGAAGAUGAUGUCCACCAGUCUGUUGUGAGAAAGCCCCUUAACAGAGAAGGGUGAUGUGUUUUAGGAGGAAGACCUCAGAGAUAAAGUGCUAUUCUCAUCAUGGGUACACACUGUCAACAUGACUCAUUACUGGGUGCUGCACUUGAUCUCCAGGCUGAGGUAAUGUUUGUCAGGUUUGCUUACUGCAAAAUUACUCCUCCCCCCCCACCUUUCCAUUUUGUACUCUCUGGAAGGAAGUCUCAGUCUUAGUGCAUUUGGGAUGCUGUAAUAGAAUACCACAGAUCAAGUAGCUUAUAAACAACAAAAAUUUAUUUC